UUGGAGGGCAAGUCUGGUGCCAGCAGCCGCGGUAAUUCCAGCUCCAAUAGCGUAUAUUAAAGUUGUUGCAGUUAAAAAGCUCGUAGUUGAACUUCGGGGUUUACUCAUUGGUCAGGCUUAAUUGUCUGCACUGGUGAGAUGAAUCUCUACCUUCUGAGGAACUUUCAUGUCAUUUAUUUGGUGUGAUUGGAAAUCAGGACUGUUACUUUGAAAAAAUUAGAGUGUUUAAAGCAGGCUAACGUCUGAAUACAUUAGCAUGGAAUAAUGAAAUAGGACGGACUGAUUCUAUUUCGUUGGUUUCUAGGAUCACCGUAAUGAUUAAUAGGGAUAGUUGGGGGCAUUAGUAUUCAAUUGUCAGAGGUGAAAUUCUUGGAUUUAUUGAAGACUAACUACUGCGAAAGCAUUUGCCAAGGAUGUUUUCAUUAAUCAAGAACGAAAGUUAGGGGAUCGAAGACGAUCAGAUACCGUCGUAGUCUUAACCAUAAACUAUGCCGACUAGGGAUCGGAUGAUGUUAAUUUUUUAAUGACUCAUUCGGCGCCUUACGGGAAAC
rnacentral:rRNA from 1 species